rnacentral:rRNA from 1 species
AUGGAUGCCAAGGAUCAACCUCAAGCUAAAGUUACUCGCAGCAUCGUGUUUGUGACUGGGGAAGCUGCUCCUUAUGCAAAGUCAGGGGGGUUGGGAGAUGUUUGUGGUUCGUUACCAAUUGCUCUUGCUGCUCGUGGUCACCGAGUGAUGGUUGUAAUGCCAAGAUACUUAAAUGGGUCCUCUGAUAAAAACUAUGCAAAGGCAUUAUACACUGCGAAGCACAUUAAGAUUCCAUGCUUUGGGGGAUCACAUGAAGUGACCUUUUUUCAUGAGUAUAGAGACAACGUCGAUUGGGUGUUUGUCGAUCAUCCGUCAUAUCACAGACCAGGAAGUUUAUAUGGAGAUAAUUUUGGUGCUUUUGGUGAUAAUCAGUUCAGAUACACACUCCUUUGCUAUGCUGCAUGCGAGGCCCCACUAAUCCUUGAAUUGGGAGGAUAUAUUUAUGGACAGAAUUGCAUGUUUGUUGUGAACGAUUGGCAUGCCAGCCUUGUGCCAGUCCUUCUUGCUGCAAAAUAUAGACCAUACGGUGUUUACAGAGAUUCCCGCAGCACCCUUGUUAUACAUAAUUUAGCACAUCAGGGUGUGGAGCCUGCAAGUACAUAUCCUGAUCUGGGAUUGCCUCCUGAAUGGUAUGGAGCUUUAGAAUGGGUAUUUCCAGAAUGGGCAAGGAGGCAUGCCCUUGACAAGGGUGAGGCAGUUAACUUUUUGAAAGGAGCAGUUGUGACAGCAGAUCGGAUUGUGACCGUCAGUCAGGGUUAUUCAUGGGAGGUCACAACUGCUGAAGGUGGACAGGGCCUCAAUGAGCUCUUAAGCUCCCGAAAAAGUGUAUUGAAUGGAAUUGUAAAUGGAAUUGACAUUAAUGAUUGGAACCCCACCACAGACAAGUGUCUCCCUCAUCAUUAUUCUGUCGAUGACCUCUCUGGAAAGGCCAAAUGUAAAGCUGAAUUGCAGAAGGAGUUGGGUUUACCUGUAAGGGAGGAUGUUCCUCUGAUUGGCUUUAUUGGAAGACUGGAUUACCAGAAAGGCAUUGAUCUCAUUAAAAUGGCCAUUCCAGAGCUCAUGAGGGAGGACGUGCAAUUUGUCAUGCUUGGAUCUGGGGAUCCAAUUUUUGAAGGCUGGAUGAGAUCUACCGAGUCGAGUUACAAGGAUAAAUUCCGUGGAUGGGUUGGAUUUAGUGUUCCAGUUUCCCACAGAAUAACUGCAGGUUGCGAUAUAUUGUUAAUGCCAUCGAGAUUUGAACCUUGCGGUCUUAAUCAGCUAUAUGCUAUGCAAUAUGGUACAGUUCCUGUAGUUCAUGGAACUGGGGGCCUCCGAGACACAGUCGAGACCUUCAACCCUUUUGGUGCAAAAGGAGAGGAGGGUACAGGGUGGGCGUUCUCACCGCUAACCGUGGACAAGAUGUUGUGGGCAUUGCGAACCGCGAUGUCGACAUUCAGGGAGCACAAGCCGUCCUGGGAGGGGCUCAUGAAGCGAGGCAUGACGAAAGACCAUACGUGGGACCAUGCCGCCGAGCAGUACGAGCAGAUCUUCGAGUGGGCCUUCGUGGACCAACCCUACGUCAUGUAG